GGCUCGACAGCUUAGUUGGUAAAGCACUUGUCUAGCGAAUAAGGGUCGUGAGUUGAAAUCUCACCUGGGCUG
rnacentral:tRNA from 1 species